CUGGCGCGUGGUGACGGCGCCCGCGGGCGGACGCAGGAUGGCGGCGCUGCGGGGCGACGGCUUCGCCAGGCUUCGGCCCGCACGGGCGCAGCGAACCCCAGGGAAGAAAGACAAAGACACGCCGGUUAGCAACGGGCGGGAACCGCGCAGCCCGGGGCCGAGGCGCCGCGUCCCCACCCCGCACCCUUCAGGGCAUGUGAAGGCUGGAUGCCGGCUUAGGAGUUGCUUCUCUCCUGCCACCACUGGGUUCCAAAGAUUGAACUCAGGUUGUCAGGCUUGGUACCAAGCACCUCUAUCCACUGAGCCAUCUUGCCAGGCCUGGUUUCAAUUUAAUAUUUUGGAAUGUACAUUGUGUCUUAGGGGCCUUUCUCAGACAGUAACAGCAAACAUAAAUAACAUAAGGUUCCCAUCUCUGAGAAGGAGCAUCUAGAAAAUUACUUUCCUAUUAUUAGGAUGAGUCAGAGCCCAAGGCUCACCUGACUCCCUGUCACUGUACACAGGCCAAGGCUUUGCUUUUCAGUCUUCAAAGGAGCCUUCUCAUUUCCUGUCAUUCCUCUGCUCAGAUACAUAAAAGCAUCCCACUGUCCCCACACUAGAUGAAUAAAUAGUUGUUAACCUUUGAGGAGAGCCAAAGACGAGUCUGAGGUUCUGCCUAAAGAUAUGGUCACCUUCCAGAAGCUUGUACAGACCACACUAGAAACUGACUUCCUGAACGUUUAUAAACGUGUAAGACCAUACAGUGGCUUCCCCUGCAUUGCUCCUUUUCAAAAGUGGAAAACUGAUGCUGCCUGGGGCAGGGGCUGGGGAGAGCCUGGAAUGGAGUAAGUUUCAACUGCUUAGAAGUAACUCUUGAUGAUACUUGAUUAACUUAUUAAAUCUGUGAUCUGACCUUUAUCACAGCAAAAUGUCCUUCAUCUUUACUGUCAAUUGGGUCACUGUCCCUGAGGCAACACGUCUAUACAAUGGUUUUUUGGCAGUUUAAGUUAGCCUGUAUAAUGGGACACCAAACUCCUCCAAGACUUGUAUUAGAAUACCUACACAGUAUAUCUUCUCCCAUCAAGUUCAAAUUAUCACGCUGCUAAGUCAGAAAUUUUCUGUGUGGUACAGAGAAAAUAUAUUCUGUCCUGCUUUUUGGCAACUCCUCUGGGAAAGACAGUGGCUGCUGCUGAUAUGCAAAAUCGUGAGAUCCAAUAUUGUGCAAAGUCCUUUGCUCACCAAACCGGAACCCCAUGCUAUGUGCCCGAUAUCACAGGUGUACCAUCUGGCCUUCCCCCCUGCCUUUUUCCCUUCCGUUGGAAUAUUUAUGUAAGUGGGACUGAAAGCUAGAGCAGAGGUAAGCGUAUCUGAAAAUGCCGACAGUCUUUCCGACUUCCACAGGUCUGAAAUGGGUUUAUUUGCUGAUACUAAACAGACAUGGAAACAGGUAUUAUGGAAACAGGUUUUAUCAGUUGCAUGCUAAAGAAAAACAGCACCACUGUCUGCUUUCCCCAAGGUACUUGAACAACCUACAUCAUUUUUCUUUCCUGGACCAUAUUUUAGAAAGUUGAGCCAAAAUAUUUAACUCUAAUUUCCU
ensembl:antisense 6530409C15Rik RIKEN cDNA 6530409C15 gene